CGCUCGGUCCGCGUCUCCUGCCUGAGUGGCCGAGCGUCAAGGUGUUGUGCGUCCGUGGGGAGUCCUCCUGCUCGGAGCCGCCGUGUCCGGAAUCACGGGAGUAGGAUUUAAAAGAAAUGUUCUGCGGAGAGAGUUGAUGCGUUACAGGAUGAGGCCAAUUAUUCCAGUCUCAAGACAUUGAUAUGUAAAAGCAAAGCAAACCGGAGGAAGAUCACAGACGAAAAACUAUGACGCAAGCCGUGUCGCCAACUCGAAAAAUAAUCUCAUUUUACACACCGACAAGAUAUGUCCGCAUCUCCAUGCUCAAAAUUCGGAUUGGGCUCGCUGCUGGGAUGCGUGAGAGUGAUUAGGUGCUGUGCUGAGUGAAAAUGAAUACCGCACACCAUGCAGAAACAAAAGAAAGAAAGACAGAGAGCGAGAGACCAUAAGACAAGACACGAUCAGCGGAGACGGCUCUAGUUUUGGCGAAAGCAUCGGUAUAAAAAAGUUAUAUUCAACGCGAGGCCCUGCGUACACACAGUCUAGCGACGUCUUUAUAAAUACGAGAGAACCGUGUUGUAAUAAAGCAAAUAUCAAAGUCGUAAUCAGCGAGAUUCUCACUAGAGAUAGCGGGGAUGCUCGCAAACACGAGGAUGGUGGUUGCCGAGGUAUUUGCGAACGCGUGAACUAUAUCCUCGAUUAGUAUGAUCUUUGUAAAUGCGCGAUCCUCCGCGAGAACACAAAGACUACGGUUAAUUCUUGUAAACGCAGGCUAUUUGCGAACGUAAAGAUCAUAUUUAGCGAGGAUCUCGUCAAUGCGGGAGCAGCGGCUCGGCAAACACAGCCGCUCGCAAAUACGAAGACCCAUCAUGAUUUCGAAACAUUUGGCGGAUGCGCCGCGCGGUUCAAUUAUGAAUGAGAAGAGCGUUGCCCGAAAGUAAAGCAGCACCUUUUCAUAAAAACGCGCAUGCCAGACGAGACUAAUUAUUCUUCAUUAAUUAAAAGUUGCGACAAAUGUUUGCGCGCGUAUCGAAUUAUAACAUACAAUUGGAAUUACACUGAAACCAUCCUCGAUAAUGAAAAAGUCGGAAUAAUUGAAGAAUUAAUUAAUACAUCAAAUUAACGCGAAAUUGUAAACACGCACUCUCUCUCAUCAUUUACGUUUCAAUAAUUCGAUUCAAUGAAACGCACCUUUCUCUUUAGGGGAGACCGUGUUUAUAACAAAAGCAAAUUAUACCACCCCCACAUCCGAACGUCUCGAUCGCUCCAAUCAACUGCGUGAAAAAAUUGCGUCGCGACUCACCACGCUCACGCGCAGCAAUAUCCGUGUGUUCGACCUUCGAUCGAGAAUAUCAUAAAAAUCUCAAUAUGUUAGCGCCGAGUUCGCCUCACACUCAUAGAGCCGCCCCUCCGCGAGCGAGGGUGAGAAACACAGUGAACGAGCGAGCGAGUUUAGCGGUGAAUUAGUUACCUUCCACAUGAGGUUUUUGUUAAGGUGGCCCCAAGUGGCGGUGGCAGAUUUGGGGAUAUUGGGAGCUGAGGGUAAGAAGGCGUGACGUGCGUACGGCAGGGUGGCCACGAUGUGAGUCUCGGUCGAGGAGGGUUCACCUGGCACCGUUACCGCCGGCUGCCUAUCGACUAUCGCCCAGCUUCGACCGGAUACCAAGUACUGCAAAAGCAACCAAUCCGCCGUUCCCCCUUUAACCCUUCGUUUACCGAUGAGCAGGGCCAGCCCUGUCGCUGCUGUCGCUCGUGAUACAGUGUUUAAUGCGUGUGGAUGGACUGAUGUCGUCUAACCCGGUCGAGUGACGAUUUACGCGCAAUCGCCGACGUCAACGACUGGCAAACUCGACGUACAUCAUCAUGCGAUUCAGUAAACAAAGGGUUUCUCACAUAGCAAGCAACCGCACCGAUCCUUUACGAGUGACUUCGUUCCACCGGGAUAGCGGGAUAGGGGAUGGAGAGAAGGGUUAAAUGAAUCAACCUGGAAUGCUUCCAAGAGUACUGAUUGAUAAAUCCGCAAGAUUUUAAGUAAAAGGACCAAUACUUGGACAUUAAUAACAUUGAUAACUAAAUCUGGACGGUUUGAUUGUUUUAAUUUUUAAAUAUGAAUAUCUAAACUUUCAAAAUGUACAAUAUAUAUAUACAUAGGUUUUUCAGUAAUAUCCUAUUUAAAUUGACUCUAGGAACACGCUCUCUUAGUAUGUAUAGUUAGUUCAUGGAACACCCUUAUUCUGUACCGAAAGUUUAAACAGUCAUAUUGAAAGAUCAAAGUAAUUAAAAUCCAAAGUUAGGUACCAGUAUUAUUAGCGUCUAGGCUAAUGGUACUUCACCUUACACCCGAGCGUAGGAGGACUUCGAGAGAGAGGCUUCGUUUGAGGGUUACGUCGUGAACUACAACGUCUUAUCCCCGUCGCGUACGCGUUCCACCGAUUGAAGUUACUGGGGCCGGAAGGAAGGACCGGAAGAGCCGAGCGUCGCGAUCGAUGAAGCGACGGAACGAGAGACCUCGUGCGCCAAUUAGGAUACAUAAUCGUCUGGAUGCGGGGUGGAGGAGAGGGCGCGCUGUAGAUUUGGCGCGAGCGACACGAGCGAACACGUGCGGGAGAAGAUAUGGGCCGUGAGCUGUGCACAUCCAGCGGUAUCUCUCUCGCGCGUUACCGGAAGCGGAACGGAUUUAACUCGCGCGGGAGCGAAUCUACGACGUAGCGGCCUGAGAUACGCGACGUCGGCACGCACGCGGCCGACGGUCUCGUCGCGGUCUCUUUCCACCCACCGAACUUUCCUUCCUUCCUUCCUUCCUUCCUUCCUUCCCGCCGCCCUUUGACGGACGGAUGGACAUGCCGUGUUUGUUGUGCGAGGACGACACGUGAUUGCACCUGUUUCGCGACUCUAUAGGGACGAGUCACGCGACCGCCGGACAGCCGGACUUCCGCUCGAAAUGAAACCUACGACCCGACACGCAGUCGAAAAAGACUGCCGCGCUCGGUGUAUUCGGAUAAAUUGUCCUUGGGGCGCGCGAAGGACAGUGGAAGCUCGCGGCGGCGGCCAUUGGGUCGAAGGAUCCCCGAGUGGAAAGGAAGUCGAGCGAGAAAGUUUGUCACGUUUUCAUGUAAACAUCAGGGAUAAUUCGGAUAUUCGAGACGCGAUAAACUCGGACGAGAGAUAUCAUAAGUAUGAUAUUUAUAUUAAAAACUCUCCGUAGUUUCCAAACUUUCAAGGAGUAGAGGUAUCGUCGAGUUCGGAGUCUUAGAGACAUAUUAAUAGUCGUUAUUUGAGAAAUUGGUUUCACAUGAGACACUCAGAUUUUUAUUUGGAAUCAGAUCCGAGCUUUUCAGUUGAAUUGUUAUUUGUGAUAUUAUGUUUGUAAUUGCGGUUCAACUGAAAAACUCUAACUCUGAACUGGGUAUCUCACUUGAGAAGAGUUUCAAGUAACGACUAUUAAUACAGGCCUUAGAUUCACAGAAAGGUGACUGAAAAGUUUCGUUUCAUCUGAAUCGUAAAGUCCAGGUGCCAUAUUUCCAUAGCAGCUAAUGAAUAUAUGAUAGAAUUCCUCAAGUCAGAAUUAGGUCAUCGUCCGCUAUUUGUAGAGAGGAAGUGAGUGAAUAAUAAAAAAGUGUGCUUCGUUAUUUCAUAGAGCUUCUUUCUCACUUCUAUUCACGUCGCACCUAAAAAUGGCGGAUAGAAUGCAGAUCAACCAGGAAUCAUCCUGCUUUGUUCUAACUCUGACUAGAGGAACUCUAGCACAUGAUAUUCCGAUAAGUAAAAAGUUACAUUUUUGUUAAAUAUUUUUAGUAAGAUGAGUGUGACCCAAUUUUUAUUUAUUUAUUUUUUAUUUUAUACAAAACAUGUUAUAACUGAUAAUAUAUAAAAUUUAGAAUAAAAACAUGUUUAUGGUAAGUAUGGAUGUAAUAACUGAUUAUAGUAUUGCAGUAAAAAAACGAAUACAAUUGUCACAAAUUGUGACACGGUCACUAAUUGGGACAUUCAUCUUGUAUCAUCACUUACAUGUUUUUUGAUGUGCAAAAUCACAUCAACAAGUUAAUUCAAACUUCAAAUCAUGAGGUGAAUACUCCUACUUAGUGUAAUUAUUGAGAUUAACUUUAUGUAUACAAAAUGACGACUUUCAAUAUAUCGAGUCUCAAUGUUGCCUCGCUGUAAAUCUAGGGCUCUAGUCGAAUCCUCGGGGAUGUGAUGGGAUUUCUUUGUGUGGAAAUUUCUUCGGCCAUAAGAAGGAUAACUGUACUGCGCUGUCUUCUUAUCGAAUAGUCACCUUAGGUCUAGGUGACCUAAUUGUCUCUAUACUUUACCUUGCGUGGCUAUGCAGUCUGACGCUAAAUCAGCAAGACGCAUCUAGCGGAUAAGAGGAAUAAGAGAGAGACAGAGAGCGAAAGUGGCCGGUGAAUGAGCAUGUGUGAUGCGGUGGAGGUGUGACAGAUGUAGCGGAUCGCUUCGCGCGAAUUUUCCUCGCCCGUACACCUUUCUUUCCUUUUUCCUUUUUCGUCAUUUUCCAUUAAGUGGCUGAUCGUGUAAGUGAGUAGUGCCUGAGCGAGCAUUCGCACGCCUUUUAACCCUUCGCACUUGAAGCACCAAUCCGAUUAUCUUCUAUUUUAACUCUCAUCACAUUAUCGUAAUCGAGCUUAGCGAGAGAAAUUUUCGAAAAUUUAAGCGAGGUCAAGUCGAUCUCUAUUCGUCGCAUCGAUGAAACAUUCGAACAAUAUAUUUUUUCAAUAUUUUAUCUGAAGCAAUAAAUUCUACGUUUGAAUCGAGGAAAAUAAAUAUAAAAUUUUCAAACCUCAACAAACAACGCAGCGACGGCAAUCGCUGGGGCUCCAUACAUUAUAAAAAUACCCGUGAUUUCGUGGCCUUGUGGGUCGACUGAUAGCGCGGGCGUGGCGCAUGCGAAGGAUUAAAUGCCGCGUUCUUCAGCGUGUGAAAUGUGUCGGCGAAUUCGAUUCGAAAGAAACGCAUUUCCACUGCGAACAAUCGCAUCUUUGGCAAAGCGUUUUCGAUCGAUCGAUCGGCCGUCGUUCAGAGGUAGAGAAAAAAACCACUUAAUUACUCGAGGACGCGCAUCCAGGCGGAAUACGGAAGUGCCGUGAAGUGCAAGAGAGCAAAACGACGUGAGGCGCGACGUGUGAGUGCCUACAUAGAGUGCAUCCCUUCGUACUCCGCCCUUCGCGUGUCUAGUUAAAGUUGAGAGAGGAAAAAAGGGGUGCGCUCUCUCUGGUACAUUACGAAUCUUUCUAAACGUAUACCUUCCCUAUCGCCGACGAAAGUGCGUUUGUUUAAAGCCCUUCGUCGUGGAGGAACGAUCUGGUCGGUAAUGCGUAUUAAAAUGUAAACAGCAUGAGAUAAUCAUUAAACUAAAUUACGUUUUUACAUUAUUCCGUCGCGAUUAACCCUUUCAGUCCUAGAUCGUCUUACUGCCAUUUGCUGAUUUUAUGGAAACGUUUGUGGAAGUUACACUUCACCAAUUUUUUAAUUUUGUACAGAGAUAAAAAUUUUACUUUUGUGAAAAUGAUGUAGUAAUAUAA